CGGAGGAUCCAAGCGUUAUCCGGAAUCAUUGGGUUUAAAGGGUCCGUAGGCGGUUUAGUAAGUCAGUGGUGAAAGCCCAUCGCUCAACGGUGGAACGGCCAUUGAUACUGCUAGACUUGAAUUAUUAGGAAGUAACUAGAAUAUGUAGUGUAGCGGUGAAAUGCUUAGAGGUUACAUGGAAUACCAAUUGCGAAGGCAGGUUACUACUAAUGGAUUGACGCUGAUGGACGAAAGCGUGGGUAGCGAACAGGAUUAGAUACCCUGGUAGUCCACGCCGUAAACGAUGGAUACUAGCUGUUGGGAGCAAUCUCAGUGGCUAAGCGAAAGUGAUAAGUAUCCCACCUGGGGAUACGUUCGCAAGAAUG
rnacentral:rRNA from 1 species